rnacentral:ncRNA from 1 species
UUUAGUUAUAGCGCCAGAGCAUUAAAAUAUUCAUUAAUGUUGACGAGGACUAAAGUUAUCGAAAAUUCGGCGGAUGCUUUAGUGGCCAUUCCUAAGGUCAAAGUAUUAAAAACAAAAAUCAAUAGUAAUAUUGUAACAAAGUUUUA